ACACCUGCUCUGGCAAUAGGCCACGGGCAGGGCUGCUUUAUAGCGAUCAGCUGGGAGCAGUUGGGGCCGAGCCCUUCAUGUCUCGGGCUGUCCACACUCCAAGCGCGGUGCGGGCGCCCAGGCCUCCAUCUUGCAUCUCACUGUGAGCCCGGCGCUUGCGCACACAGCUUGCCUGCUAUGCUGAGGGGUGGGUGCAGCCGCUUGCCACGAGGAGGAGCUCUGGUCUGAAGCCCCUGGUGCGAGGUCUCUGCUCAGACCACCCUGUGAGCAAGUGAAACUCAACCAAGCACGAAGGAAAGAAAGGAAUUAGCCAUGACUGAGAUGAACACUGAGUAGCCAGAAUAAGGCCAAGAUGAAAAAAGCUGAUUGUAUUCAUGACUGACUGGGACAGAAUGCAGGCUCUUACAAAGUCUAGAAGACCACCCACUAAGGCAAAUGACGAAUCUAGAGGACAUGAAGGAAGGAUCAUAACUGAAGUUGUGGAGCCAGUAAUUUAGAGCUGGGAAGACAAGAUUACAGCAAAAGCAACUGGAAUUGAUAAGGGAACAUGAGAUUGGGAGAGAUAGUCCUGAGUGACAUUGCACAUUGGCUGGUGUUUGGGGAUUACCCUUGUGAGCUGGCAGGAGCAUGAAGCAAGGGACAAGGGGACGGACACUAAGAAGGGGAUGUAUUGUCUGCGUGUGUUGCCUUCACACCUUUGAAUUCUAAAGGGAUGGCAGGGGCAGCUAACAGAGAGCAGAGAGGAGGCAUCCGGAAUCCCAUGUGGCACAUUUAUGUCAACUGCAUGUCAAUCAGAUGCAAGUGAAGACUAAGCAGUUCCAGCACGGGAACCUCUGAAAAUCAAGACCACAUCAUCCUGAUGUUUUGGCAUUUUGCCCACUGCCUCAGCAUGUGCUUUUAAAGAGAGCUCUCUAUUGCCGUCUCAUGGUGAAUGAGUGAAUGGCUGGGAUUAGGAGACAAAACUGGCUACCACCACUAAGCAGAAAGAUUCCACAAAGGCAAAGGGGAAGCUUACAUGAAGCAGACCUGAGUUCCUGCUAUUACUUAUGUGCAACAUCAGAAAGAGAAUUCCAUGGUAAGUGUAGACAGUCUCUAAGGUUUGAGGCUCACCAUAUGAAGGAAUGUUUUCCUGGAAAGCUCUUCUUCUCCAGUCUGGCAUUCAUCCUUCUGAAACAUUUACCCUUCUGUCAGCUGGUCCUCUGGCCUAUUAAAACCAGAUCCCAGGUAAGGUCCCGAUGUCUACCUUGCAAAGGUAUUGGAUGGGGUAUCCUUUUGACUGGGAAAUGAAAUGUUGAUGUCCUGUGAAGGAAAAUUUAAUCCCCAGUAUGGUGGACAAGGAAAGCAUUGUUUUUGUUGGUUUCCUUUCUUUUUGUGUUUAAACUAGUAGGGUGUGGAGGACAGGGGAGAAGUGCCCUAUCCACAGUGCCUGAGGGCAGCUUAGCAACCCAGGAGUGUGUAGAGAGAAACUGGCUUAGCUGGUAUAGGAAGUUCUGUAGGAAACAUUCAUGGGCUCUGAGAAGUUGCAUUUCUAUCAAUGGGAGAUUUUCGGUUUUUUUAACUUUUUUGAAGUGUGGAGAUUUCUUAAUUUUCUCAAGAGUAAAAGUUUAACGAGUACUGUUUUCUUUUAGUUGAAGUUGAUGUCUCAUCCAGCCUUAAUGUUGCUAGUAGCAGGGCUAUUCUUAAAACCAUUCCUAAAAAAGAAUCAGCUACCUCACCAGAAACUGCCACAGCAUUCCUCGACUCUUCAGAAAUUCCAUUUCAUGCCAUUCUUAUUUGGAACAUACUUUGCAAUUAACAGUGUUCUAGUUCCUGUGAAUUGUGAAAAGAAUGAAUAGUGGGAGUUCCCAUUGUGGCUCAGCAGUAACAAACCAGAUUAGUACCCAUGAGGAUGGACAUUUGAUCCCUGGCCUGCUCAGUGGGUUAAGGAUCUGGCGUUACCUUGAGCUGUGGUGUAGGUCACAGAUGCGCCUCAGUUGCUGUGGGUGUGGCUGUUGCUGUGGUGUAGGCCGGCAGCAAUAGCUCCAACUUGACCCCUAGCUUGGGAACUUACAUAUGCCCAAAGUGUGGCCCUAAAAAGCAAAAAAAAAAAGGAACAUGGAUCUAAAUAUCACACUUAUUUGUUUCAAAAAAUGAUAAAGCCAAGACUUAGAUUGAUAGUUGGAUAGGGAAGAAAAUAGGAUCUUUUGCCCCUCCUUUGAUGUCCCCAUAUUUUAUUUCUGAAAUAAAUAACCCAUAAAUAAUUGGCCUAGGCCUAGUAAAAGGAUAAUAAAAUGAUUUAGUUUUAUAAAUGGUGAUAGGUAGGAAACACUAUAGAACUGGUGACUUUCUUCUAAAGUUUUGGUUAAGCCAUUGGAGACUUUGCUGUCCAGAAGGUAGGGAUGUUGGCUCUGCCCUAAUUAUCUCAAAUAGCAAGUCUGUUUGGCCCCCAGGAAGGCGGCCAGAUAACGAAUGUGGACAUUACUUUUCUCAGCUCAAAUUGAGAAAAAAAAACUUUACAGAGCUUUGAGGAAGGCAGAUACCAGCAGCCUCUUUUAUGGUGGGUGUGAACACAAAUCAAAGACUCCAGCCGAAAACAUCCUCCACCUGGCGACUUCCAGGAUUUAAAAAAAAAAAAGCAAAAAAAAAAAAA
rnacentral:lncRNA from 1 species